AUUGAACGCUGGCGGCAUGCCUUACACAUGCAAGUCGAACGGCAGCACGGGUGCUUGCACCUGGUGGCGAGUGGCGAACGGGUGAGUAAUACAUCGGAACGUACCUUAUCGUGGGGGAUAACGCAGCGAAAGUUGCGCUAAUACCGCAUACGCCCUGAGGGGGAAAGCGGGGGACCGUAAGGCCUCGCGCGAUUGGAGCGGCCGAUGUCUGAUUAGCUUGUUGGUGAGGUAAAAGCUCACCAAGGCGAUGAUCAGUAGCUGGUCUGAGAGGACGAUCAGCCCCACUGGGACUGAGACACGGCCCAGACUCCUACGGGAGGCAGCAGUGGGGAAUUUUGGACAAUGGGGGCAACCCUGAUCCAGCAAUGCCGCGUGAGUGAAGAAGGCCUUCGGGUUGUAAAGCUCUUUUGUCAGGGAAGAAACAGCAGCUCUAACACAGUCUGCGAAUGACGGUACCUGAAGAAUAAGCACCGGCUAACUACGUGCCAGCCGCCGCGGUAA
rnacentral:rRNA from 1 species